GGGGAUGAGCAACGUCGAGAAAAUUCAGCUGGCUUUCAAGCAGAUCACCACUGCGUCCGACAACCUCCGCAAGGAAACGCAGUUGAUCAACAUCAUCAAUGCUCCGCUCCAGGGUUCCAAGAUUGCUGAGGGAUUCGCUAAAAUCAUCAGCGCCAUCGCCGAGUACACGAUCAAGAUUAACGAGGGUGGCGUCAAGAACGACAACAGUCCUCUGCCAGACGCGGACGCUAAGCUCGUCGUGCAAUCCCUGACGACCUUCGUGCAGGUGCACCAGGCAUUGCUCAAUGUGGUGAUCGGCAAGCACGGCCUCCUUACUUUGAUCCCGUUCUUCGAGCCCAUCAGGUUGUCGCUGGUGUCCCUGGAAGCAACCAUAGACGCCUUCGCGUUUGCCCUCAUCGCCGAAAUCCCCACCCAGAAGCCCGCCGCAGAUGUGCAAUUCGGGUCCCUCAGUAUAACUCUCCAGGUUGCCAUCACCACCUACUCGUCGCCCAUAUUGGAAUCGAACAACCUGCAGGAGAUGAACACUACUGAGAAAAUCGUGCUGGCGUUCAAGCAGAUCACCACUGCGUCCGACAACCUCCGCAAGGAAGUGCAGCUGAUCAACAUCAUCAAUGCUCCUCUCCAGGGCUUCAAGAUUGCUGAGGGAUUCGCUAAAAUCAUCAGCGCCAUCGCCGAGUACACGAUCAAGAUUAACGAGGGUGGCGUCAAGAACUACAACAGUCCUUUGCCAGACGCGGACGCCCAGAUCGUGGUGCAAUCCCUGACGACCUUCGUGCAAGUGCACCAGGCAUUGCUCAAUGUGGUGAUCGGCAAGCACGGCCUCCUUACUUUGAUCCCGUUCUUCGAGCCCAUCAGGUUGUCGCUGGUGUCCCUGGAAGCAACCAUAGACGCCUUCGCGUUUGCCCUCAUAGCCGAAAUCCCCACCCAGAAGCCCGCCGCAGAUGUGCAAUUCGGGUCCCUCAGUGUAACCCUCCAGGUUGCCAUCACCACCUACUCGUCGCCCAUAUUGGAAUCGAACAACCUGCAGGAGAUGAACACUACUGAGAAAAUCGUGCUGGCGUUCAAGCAGAUCACCACUGCGUCCGACAACCUCCGCAAGGAAGUGCAGCUGAUCAACAUCAUCAAUGCUCCUCUCCAGGGCUUCAAGAUUGCUGAGGGAUUCGCUAAAAUCAUCAGCGCCAUCGCCGAGUACACGAUCAAGAUUAACGAGGGUGGCGUCAAGAACUACAACAGUCCUUUGCCAGACGCGGACGCCCAGAUCGUGGUGCAAUCCCUGACGACCUUCGUGCAAGUGCACCAGGCAUUGCUCAAUGUGGUGAUCGGCAAGCACGGCCUCCUUACUUUGAUCCCGUUCUUCGAGCCCAUCAGGUUGUCGCUGGUGUCCCUGGAAGCAACCAUAGACGCCUUCGCGUUUGCCCUCAUAGCCGAAAUCCCCACCCAGAAGCCCGCCGCAGAUGUGCAAUUCGGGUCCCUCAGUGUAACUCUCCAGGUUGCCAUCACCAC
rnacentral:lncRNA from 1 species